UUCUCAGCUCAAGAUAAUGGGUCAUCUUCUUCCUUAGAAACCUAAGGCAUGGAAAUUUUCAAUCCUCCAUAACUUCUUCAUUUUUAAUCGGUUUUGCGUGAUUCUCGCGGCUACGGAAAGAGGAGGAGGAGAGCUUUCAAUCUAUUCCAUAAAAUCAAGAAUUGACGAGGCGACUACCAAUGGAACCCGGAACUUACAAAACGCGACAUCGCUAAACUAUUAUCGAAGGUUAUGGAUAGCAAGCGUGUGUUUUUCAGGUAUCUAGAUUCUGAAUUUGGCUAGAAGUCCGUCUUUGACCGGAAGUCCAUUUGGCGAUGUAGAGCCCCGACUUCCAUUGUUGCUGCAGUAGUGUAAUGUCUGACCAGUGUCGUAGCCUAGUACAUUAAUACGUUUUUCAUUGUUUAUAGUUGUUGUCAGUGUGUUUAUGUUUGUUUUGGCUACGAUUGUCAUAUUUAAUCCACGGAGGUAAAUUCCCGUGAGGUGUAUG